UUUUUUCUUUACUCUAUAUUUCAUUUUUAUUAUAUCAGGGGAUUAUUUCCUAAUUAUUUAGUGGUCUUUGAUUUUUUGACUUUGUCUACGGCUAACUACAUACUGGGCGAGGACAUCGUCCACCAACCUAAUCCACGAGGAAAACGUACACACGAGGAAAGUACGUUGGUCAGACCGGGAUUCGAACCGGACCCGGGAAAAACUGUCCUGCAUGUAAUGAACUAUAAUGAUCAGAAGGAUGGCGGGCUCCCCCUCCAUCUUUUGAAAACCAAUCAGAUCGCUCCAUCCAUCUUCUCAUCUCAGGUCGCUCCCGUCGCCGUUCUCGCGUUAUCUCCGUCUUUCUCACUGCUUUCAACCAAAGCAACACUACGUUCAGUAAUGGAGCAGACCCUGAGCUGAGGAGAUGCCAUUGUGCCAAACAAAGGGGAGAUUGUGUCUCAUCUGCAGGGACAGCGACGGUCAAGUGUAGAGUACGGUGUUUAAACCCUGCUGCAGGGCAGCAACCACAAAUAUUACUGCAACUGUGGCGUCCACGGUGACUCCGGCGUCCACAGCAGACCAUCAGAAAGAAACAUGUGUGUGUCCAUUUAGAGCAAUGAUGUUACUGUGGCCAGACAAGAGGACACGUCUUCAAAGUGUCUUGCGCUACAUAAGGAAGUGCAAAUGAUCAAGGAAAGAAAAUGUCUUAUUCAAAGUGCUUCAUCACAUGUAUUCACUGUUACAUAUUUAUGCGUCGUAUCAUUUAAUUUUAGGAAAGGCCCAACAUGCCAAACAGCAACGAUGUGAGUCCACUUGUCUGUUAAUUCAUGUCAUUACUCAGGAUGAAGGCGUGCUGCAAUACCUUAAGAAAAUCAUCAGAGGCAACAUUGUGUCUCCCUGGGCCAAGAAGGAGGACAGGGUCUUCAUUCUUUUUGAAGAUGAUGACCAAGUGGAUCUUGGUGAUGCACUUCUUGUCUGGAGUGAUUGAAAGUCCACAGACAGAUAAGAAGUCUGCAGAUCCUGUGGCUUUAAUCAUACAGAGCUGUACUCUCCAUCUCCCUGGACAAAGACAAA